rnacentral:rRNA from 1 species
UACGUAGGGUGCAAGCGUUGUCCGGAAUUAUUGGGCGUAAAGAGCUCGUAGGCGGCCUGUUGCGUCCGCUGUGAAAUCCCAGGGCUCAACCCUGGGCGUGCAGUCGAUACGGGCAGGCUAGAGUUCGGCAGGGGAGACUGGAAUUCCUGGUGUAGCGGUGAAAUGCGUAGAUAUCGAGAGGAACACCAGUGGCGAAGGCGAGUCCCUGGACAACUUCUGACGCUGAGGCACGAAAGCUAGGGGAGCAAACAGG